rnacentral:rRNA from 1 species
GAUGAACGCUGGCGGCGUGCCUAAUACAUGCAAGUCGAGCGAACGGACGAGAAGCUUGCUUCUCUGAUGUUAGCGGCGGACGGGUGAGUAACACGUGGAUAACCUACCUAUAAGACUGGGAUAACUUCGGGAAACCGGAGCUAAUACCGGAUGAUAUUUUGAACCGCAUGGUUCAAAAGUGAAAGACGGUCUUGCUGUCACUUAUAGAUGGAUCCGCGCUGCAUUAGCUAGUUGGUAAGGUAACGGCUUACCAAGGCAACGAUGCAUAGCCGACCUGAGAGGGUGAUCGGCCACACUGGAACUGAGACACGGUCCAGACUCCUACGGGAGGCAGCAGUAGGGAAUCUUCCGCAAUGGGCGAAAGCCUGACGGAGCAACGCCGCGUGAGUGAUGAAGGUCUUCGGAUCGUAAAACUCUGUUAUUAGGGAAGAACAUAUGUGUAAGUAACUGUGCACAACUUGACGGUACCUAAUCAGAAAGCAACGGCUAACUACGUG